GGUUAUGGCUCAGUGUUAGAGCGCUCACCUAGCACGUGUGCGGCCCUGGGUUCGAUCCUCAGCACCA
rnacentral:tRNA from 1 species